GUGGGGAAUAUUGGACAAUGGGCGAAAGCCUGAUCCAGCCAUGCCGCGUGUGUGAAGAAGGUCUUCGGAUUGUAAAGCACUCUAAGUUGGGAGGAAGGGCAGUAAGUUAAUACCUUGCUGUUUUGACGUUACCGACAGAAUAAGCACCGGCUAACUUCGUGCCAGCAGCCGCGGUAAUACGAAGGGUGCAAGCGUUAAUCGGAAUUACUGGGCGUAAAGCGCGCGUAGGUGGUUUUGUAAGUUGGAGGUGAAAUCCCCGGGCUCAACCUGGGAACUGCCUCCAAAACUGCAUGACUAGAGUACGGUAGAGGGUAGUGGAAUUUCCUGUGUAGCGGUGAAAUGCGUAGAUAUAGGAAGGAACACCAGUGGCGAAGGCGACUACCUGGACUGAUACUGACACUGAGGUGCGAAAGCGUGGGGAGCAAACAGGAUUAGAAACCCGUGUAGUCC
rnacentral:rRNA from 1 species